rnacentral:rRNA from 1 species
AUGGAGUACAAGAACCACAAGGCAGCCAAAGCAGGGGCGUUUACACCACCACCUAGGACUAGGACAGCAAGAAACAGGGCAGGGCAGGGCCUAUGGCGCUGUAGCUCAGGGGGGCAGCGAGCAAUGGCGGGGGGAUGCGGCGGCGAAGGCACUCUGGCCAGGUGGCGGCGGGCGGCGGCCAAGCGGAUCGGCCUCUCCUGCGCCUCCUUCUUCUCCUCCCAUGCCGCCUCUCCCUCCCCGCCGCCUCCCAAGACCAUCUCAUGUUCAGCAGUGAAUGCGCCCGCAGACAGCAGUGAUGGAGAACAGGAAAAGCUGGAGGAGCCGACCAGCACUAGAAUGGCUGACAAGAACUUCUGUGCAAUAUGUUUGGAGACCCUCAGCACCAGCAGCAGUGGCAUUGACAACUGUGACAGGCCAGCGAUAUUCACAGCCCAGUGUUCCCACUCUUUCCACUUCUUGUGCAUUGCCUCCAACAUCAGACAUGGCAAUGUUACAUGCCCCAUCUGCCGUGCGCAGUGGUCUCAGCUGCCACGUGACCUGAAGGUGCCGCCAUUGCUGCACAACCAGUCAGAUCCAAUCCUUCGCAUCCUUGAUGACAACAUUGCGACAUCCCGCGUCAACCGAAGGUCCUCCAUCCGUGCUACCCGCUACAACGAUGAUGACCCUGUUGAGCCAUACACUCUGACUGAGCAUGUUGAUCCAUGCCUGCGAUUCGCCCUUAUCCCGUCUCCGGUGGCAGCUCACCAUCAUGCCCUCGGACACUACCCUUGUGGACGCAUGAUGCCACCACAGCAGCACUGCCAGUACAGCUACAGCGGCUCCUCCAUGGUUUCGCCGCCACAGAUUGCUUCACCAAGUGUGCAAAGGCGUGCUUACCUCUCAGUCAGCCUAGCUCCACAGCCAGCCAUGGACUUGGUCUUGGUUGCCAGCCCUAAUGGGCCACACCUGAGGCUCUUGAAGCAGGCAGUGGCACUGGUUGUCUUCUCUAUGCGCGCAAUUGACCGGUUAGCCAUUGUCACGAAUGCCACCACUGCAACUCGUGCCUUCCCCUUGCGCCGGAUGUCCUCCCAUGGUAAACGAAUGGCAUUGCAGGUCAUCGAACACCUCUGCUCUGUGGGUGGAAUUGAUCCGGUAGGAGCUUUGCAGAAGGGUCUGAAGAUACUAGAGGACCGGGCACACCAGAACCCAAGCAACUGCAUUCUUCACCUCUCUGAUCAUCCGAUACGCAGCUAUGCUGGGGUAGACAUGAACCGUGCGAGCAUCCCGGUUCACCAGUUCCAUGUCGGGCUCGGGUUCGGGGUGCAGAACAGCUUCGUGAUGCAUGAAUUCGAGGAGCUUCUUGCGCGGUUGCUCGGCGGUGUCAUAGGCGACACCCACCUGAGGAUAGGGGAGCAUGGUGGAGUGGUGAGGCUAGGGGAGCUGAGGGGUGGUGAGGAGAGGAGGAUCCCACUUGACCUUGUGGCAGACUGUGGCUUCAUACUGGUUGGUUACAGCUACCUGGAGGGCGGAAGAGAGGACCGUUCAAGGACGGGCGAGGUCGCUGUCGGGUUCGAGGAGAAGAGCGACAGCAGGUACUGCGGGGGCAGAGACAUGGGGACGAGCAUCGGCGGCGAGAGGAGGAGCAGCUGCUGCGCCGAGAGCUGGGAUCACCUUGACCCGUUCAUGGCGCGGCGAUGGGCGAAACAUUUCAACGUGUACAGAUCCUGA